GAAACGACUGCUAAGACUGGAUAGGAAACAAAAAGGCAUCUUUUUGUUUUUAAAAGACCUUCUUACGAAGGUAUGCUUAAAGAGGGGCUUGCGCCACAUUAGUUAGUUGGUAGGGUAAAAGCCUACCAAGACGAUGAUGUGUAGCUGGACUGAGAGGUUGAACAGCCACAUUGGGACUGAGACACGGCCCAAACUCCUACGGGAGGCAGCAGUAGGGAAUUUUCGGCAAUGGAGGAAACUCUGACCGAGCAACGCCGCGUGAACGAUGAAGUAUUUCGGUAUGUAAAGUUCUUUUAUUGAAGAAGAAAAAGUAGUGGAAAAACUAUAUUGACGUUAUUCAAUGAAUAAGCCCCGGCUAACUAUGUGCCAGCAGCCGCGGUAAGACAUAGGGGGCGAGCGUUAUCCGGAAUUAUUGGGCGUAAAGGGUGCGUAGGCUGUUAGAUAAGUCUAUAAUUUAAUUUCAGUGCUUGACGCUGUCUUGUUAUAGAAACUGUCUUGACUAGAGUGAGAUAGAGGCAAGCGGAAUUCCAUGUGUAGCGGUAAAAUGUGUAAAUAUAUGGAGGAACACCAGAAGCGUAGGCGGCUUGCUGGGUCUUUACUGACGCUGAGGCACGAAAGCGUGGGUAGCAAACAGGAUUAGAUACCCUGGUAGUCCACGCCGUAAACGAUGAGUACUAAGUGUCGGGGUAAAACUCGGUACUGAAGUUAACACAUUAAGUACUCCGCCUGAGUAGUACGUACGCAAGUACGAAACUUAAAGGAAUUGACGGGACUCCGCACAAGCGGUGGAUCAUGUUGUUUAAUUCGAAGAUACACGAAAAAUCUUACCAGGUCUUGACAUACUCUGCAAAGCUAUAGAAAUAUAGUGGAGGUUAUCAGGGAUACAGGUGGUGCAUGGUUGUCGUCAGUUCGUGUCGUGAGAUGUUAGGUUAAGUCCUAAAACGAGCGCAACCCUUGUCGUUAAUUGCCAGCACGUAAUGGUGGGGACUUUAGCGAGACUGCCAAUUAAACAUUGGAGGAAGGUGAGGAUUACGUCAAAUCAUCAUGCCCCUUAUGAUCUGGGCUACAAACGUGAUACAAUGGCUGUGACAAAGAGUAGCUGAAACGCGAGCUUUUAGCCAAUCUCAAAAAAGCAGUCUCAGUUCGGAUUGAAGUCUGUAACUCGACUUCAUGAAGUUGGAAUCGCUAGUAAUCGCGAAUCAGCAUGUCGCGGUGAAUACGUUCUCGGGUUUGUACACACCGCCCGUCA
rnacentral:rRNA from 1 species